UUCGCAUUGUUCGCACUCCAGCGGCAGACCAAGCCCUCCCUGAUCGGUUCACGAGGGGAGAGAGCGAGCGGAGCGACCGAGGAAGAGACAGCGAGGAGAAGAGAAGGAGCGGGCGAGAACGGGAAAAGUGGCCGUUUUUCUCUCCUUUCGGGCAUCGCCGCAGCGUCGUCUCCCCCCCGAUUCUGAGCGAGUUCAGGGCAAAACCAACAUUUCCCUCAGCGCAUUUCUGUCUACGGAAUCCAUGAAUGGCAGUGCCUUUCUCUGGGUGAAGGUGUUUGCUGCCGCUUAAAUCUCUGUUGGGAAUGGCCAGCAAUCCGCAGUCUUCUGGGGCACAGCCCCUUAGGCCUGCAGUGGUGGGGUCCACAGGUCCACCUCAAAAUUUUGGUCCCCCAAUGUCUAUGCAGUUCAGACCUGUGGUUCCGGCUCAGCAAACACAUCAGUUCAUCCCAGCAGCUUCUCAGCAAUUCCGACCUGUUGGGCAAGGUGUUCCUGGUUCAAAUAUUGGAAUACCUUCUGGUCAGACUCAAAUGCACCAUUUUCCUCAACCUGCACAGCAUCUGCCAAGAUCAGGUCCGCCAGCACCACCUUCUUCACAAGCAAUUCCAAUGCCAUAUGGUCAGCCAAGUAUGCCCAUGACAUCUGGGUCACUGCAGCCCCAGCAAAAUCCUCAGAUGCAAAACAGUCAUCUGCCUAAUUUAGGUGGCAUAGGAAUGCCCCUUUCUUCAUCUUAUACAUUUGCAACAUCUUAUUGCCAGCCACCAAAUACUCUUAAUAACCCAUCCCAGUAUCAACCAGCAUCCCAGAUGCAAGCACCCAUUACACCUGCGAUGGGACAACCGUGGUCUGCACCUGGGACUCAGAAUGUACCUCUUGUUACACCUCUGGUGCAGGCUGCACCACAAUCUUCAGCUACGGGGGCUGCAGUGGGCACAGCUGCUACAACAAAUGCACAACCUAGGUCUUCUGAACAGGUCUCUUCUGAUUGGCAAGAGCACACAUCUGUUGAUGGAAAAAGAUAUUACUACAAUAAGAAGACUAGACAAUCUAGCUGGGAGAAGCCCCUUGAGUUGAUGACGCCUAUCGAGAGGGCUGAUGCCUCGACUGAUUGGAAGGAGUUCAGCACUUCAGAUGGACGAACAUACUAUUAUAACAAGGUCACAAAGAUAUCAAAAUGGAUAAUUCCUGAUGAGCUCAAGUUAGCUCGUGAACAAGCAUUAAGGGCUGCAGCUCAGCAGGCACAUACAGAAACUGGAACAGCUUCCGUUGCCCCAGUUGCUCCAACUGUUUCGUCUGGAGAGAUCCCUUCUGCCACAACAGACUCUGUGACUCCUGGAACAACAUCUGCAGUAGUAUCAAGCUCAGUUCCAGUGGCAGUCAACUCAAUUACACCACCAGCUGUGAUGGCUUCGGUAUCACCAUCUGUUGUACCAUCAGCUGGAAUCUCGUCGAGUUCCUCCUUGGGAAUUCCAAACACAAUUGGCUCAUCAAAUCUUCAGACAACUGUAACUCCAUUACCUGCACCUGUUUCUGCUAAUACGGUGGUAUCUACUGUUGCAAUAGAAUCUGCAUCAUCUAACACUAAGAGUAAUCAUGACAGCUCAUCUCUCCUAAAUACUGCAAGUGUGCCUGAUGGUGCUUCUGCUCAGGAUUUGGAGGAAGCUAAAAAGGCCAUGCCAGUUACUGGAAGAGUCAAUGUCACUCCAUUGGAGGAGAAAACAAUUGAUGAAGAACCUUUGGUUUAUUCUAAUAAGCAGGAGGCAAAAGCUGCAUUCAAAGCCCUACUGGAAUCUGCAAAUGUUGAAUCUGAUUGGACUUGGGAGCAGGCAAUGAGAGUUAUUAUCAAUGACAAGAGAUAUGGUGCGUUAAAGACCCUUGGUGAGAGGAAACAAGCAUUUAAUGAGUACUUGGGACAAAGGAAAAAACAGGAAGCUGAGGAAAGGCGCAUUAAACAAAAGAAAGCACGAGAAGACUUCACCAGAAUGUUGGAAGAAUGCAAAGAAUUAACUUCGUCAACCCGGUGGAGUAAAGCCGUGACCAUGUUUGAGAAUGAUGAACGGUUUCAUGCUGUUGAGCGGGCAAGAGAUCGUGAGGAUCUAUUUGAAAGCUAUUUGGUGGAUCUCCAGAAAAAGGAAAGAGCGAAGGCUGCCGAGGAGCAUAAACGAAAUAUAAUGGAGUAUAGAACUUUUCUUGAAUCUUGUGACUUUAUUAAGGCAAACACCCAAUGGAGGAAAGUUCAAGAUCGACUGGAGGAUGACGAAAGAUGUUCUCGACUUGAAAAAAUUGAUCGUUUGGAGAUCUUCCAGGAGUACAUACAUGAUCUGGAAAAGGAAGAGGAGGAACAGCGGAAGAUACAGAAGGAGCAAUUAAGACGGCUGGAGCGCAAAAACCGUGAUGAGUUCCGCAAAUUAAUGGAAGAACAUGUUGCUGCUGGAAUUCUUACAGCUAAAACUCACUGGCGCGAUUACUGUAUGCAGGUGAAGGAUUUGCCACCUUACAUAGCAGUAUCAUCAAACACAUCAGGUUCAACACCAAAAGAUCUGUUUGAGGAUGUUGCAGAGGAACUUGACAAGCAGUACCAUGAGGACAAGGCCCAGAUCAAAGAAGCAAUUAAGAUCCGAAAGAUUGCUUUGGCAUCUUCAUGGACAUUUGAAGAUUUCAAGGCUGCUACUUCGGGUGAUGACAGCCUACAAGGAAUAUCAGAGACAAACAUGAAGCUUGUUUUUGAUGAGUUACUGGAAAGGCUUAGGGAGAAGGAGGAGAAGGAGGCUAAGAAGCGCCAACGUCUUGCAGAUAAUUUUUCUGACCUGCUUUACUCAAUUAAGGAAAUAACUGCUUCAUCUAGAUGGGAGGACUGCAAAUCACUGUUUGAAGACACCCAAGAGUACAGGUCCAUUGGUGAUGAGAACUUUGUAAAAGAGAUUUUUGAAGAACAUGUAGCCCACUUGCAAGAAAAGCUGAAAGAGAAGGAGCGUAAAAGAGAAGAGGAAAAGGCAAAGAAAGAGAAAGAAAGAGAGGAGAAAGAGAAGAGGAAGGAGAAGGAAAGGAAAGAAAAGGAAGAAAGGAAGGAAAAAGAGAGAGAACGCGAAAAAGAGAAGGGAAAGGACCGAUCUAGAAAGGAUGAAGCAGAAAGUGAAAAUGUUGAUAUGAUGGACAGCCAUGGCUCGAAGGAUAAAAAGAGGGAAAAUGAUAAGGAAAGAAAGCACCGGAAACGUCACCACAGCAUGGUUGAUGAUGUAAGCUCUGAAAAAGAUGAUAAAGAGGAGUCCAAGAAGUCCCGUAGGCGUAGGCAUAGCGGUGACCGCAAAAAAUCGCGUAAGCACACUUACACUACCGAUUCAGAUAGUGAAAAUCGACACAAGAGGCAUAAGAAAGAUCGAGAUGGGUCCCGUAGAAAUGGUGGUUAUGAAGAGCUUGAGGAUGGGGAACUUGGAGAGGAUGGGGAAAUACAUGCUGUCUAAAAAUGUGAGAAGGGGCAAGGAUGUCACUAACGGCUGCGCAGGCAGGGCAGUCCCAGUGCCUAGGUGCUUAGCACUUUCCAGGCUUUCCGGCAGGACAACCACCCAGGGUUCUAGUUUAAGAAUCAUGUGCCAGGUACUGUGGGGCUAGAGAUUUCCACGUUUAUUCUGGUGAUGGAAUCCGUGCAUCUCACUGGUUGAAGCAUGCCUUCAGCAGCGUACCGUUCCAUGUAUUUUUCAUUUCCUUGCUGUAUUGACCCAGGAUAAGGUUUAGAAGGUACCGAGACAGCAAUUUUCCCUGAUGCAACAUCCUGGUAUGGCUAUGAGCUCAUUUGAGGUGAUUUGCUGAGGCCACAGGAUAUUGUCAUUUGCUUCACCUUUGGGCUUCAUGCUAAAACCCUACUUGUUGGAUAUAGCGAGUGCUUUAGAUUUUCACUUGAUGGCCUUUUUAAGUUUUGAGUGCUAUGUUACCAAGCUCUUGGAGGUGUGAUGCAUCUGGCUUUUCGCGUGGAGCUUUCAUUGCCCGAAGCUUUGAAAAUGUCUCCUAUGGUGGUUGUAAUCACACCUAUAUCCUAUGGUGGGUUCCGAAUAGCUCUGGCAAUUGUUAGGUAUUGUUUCUUCGGUCAAAGUGUAUCAGAUUUGCAAAUUUUGGUAUAGAUUGGGAGUAGGAUAAUGCAAUAUAGUUAUUUAAAUUUGUUUGCAUUUA